UCGUGAGUAUAAUGCUAGUUAUUAGAGAUUUUAGUUGCCAUAUUCCUCCCUUUAUAUGCCACUUUGUUGCCUUAAAUUGUGGAGUCAAAGAGAUAGUUAUUUGGCUCCUAAAAACAAGCACACAUUAGCUGCAUAUUCCAAUUAUCUCACAAUCAGUUCCACGAGUCACUCUUCUCUAACUCUUGGCAUCCGUUUAACUUUCACGUAGAAAAACUUUCUCAAGUUACACAAUUAUCACCCCAAUCCCAUAUUACAUAAUUAACCGUUUACCAUUUUCCUUUCAUGCUCCAAUUUUGGGAAUCACGGCAGCUUCUUUUGCGUUCUCAUCAUAUUAUGUUAAGCAUCUUAUCACCUUGCCUUGUUUUGUUCAACGAAAAAUCAAGUAUAAACUUAACGGAGCAAAGAUCGACGUGCCUUGAUUUAGAGUUGUUCUACUAGGAAGAAAAGCGUCAAUGAUAAUCAGAAGCUCUAUAUUCAAUUAAUCAGAAGCUCAAGCGGAGAUCAUAGCCCGAAAACUUUGAAUGACUUAGAGAAAAGACAGUUGAAGAGGGUGUGGCUGGUGAUAGUAUCAACGGUGUAAAUCAGCACUCGUAAAGGUUUUGAACAAGCUUACUAGGUUAUUUGGACCAGCUAUAUUUGAAGCUUAAAAUUUGAUGGAUUUGUUCUUAGGAAUUGACAUUAACACAGUGAUAUAACCUCAAAACUCACUUUGGCAAUAAAUAACUCUCAGCUUUAAAAAAAUCACUGGAAAAAACAUGUGAACACCGGAAGGAUGUGGAAGAAAAAUAAAAGGAUUCAAUUGUCAAAUGGUAGAUGGAUCUGCAAAAAAGGAGGAUUUUAUUUGUCAAUCAAUGAUUGUAUUACAUGACUUUGGUUUAAUUCGGCACUUCAACAUUUAUAAAUUUAUUUGAAUGUUUUAAUUUGGAAUUUCAGUUUAGACAAUUU